CAGACACGGAGGGCAGCCUCUCCCGGGGAGGACAGGUUGGCAGUGAGGAAGCGGAGCUGGAGCGAUUCCCCGGCCCAGGUGAGAGGAAGAUGAAGGUCCUGCUGACGCUGGCAGUGCUGUCUGCCUGCAGUGUGUUCACAGCUCGUGGGAAGCUCCUGCACCCAUUCACACCAGGACUCGAGGGAAGCACCGUCGGAAAUCUGACUGCCCACGGUUGCUACUCGGGAUGGGGCAGCAACCGCACGUCGAAGGCUUCAAUGGACCGGUGCUGCCUGCUCCGUGCCUGCUGCUACGCCAGGCUGGCAGCACGGCGGUGCCGCGUGGGACCCAUCCAGCCCCUCUCGGUGCCCCGGGCAGGAAUCCCCACCUGCAGUGAGUCCUCGCAGUCGCGGUUCGCGAUG
rnacentral:lncRNA from 1 species